CACCAGCUUACUCAUUUGGCUGAAGAAUACAGGAGGUUCGGCAAUCUAGAUAAUAUAUCAGGAUUUCCUUUUGAGAAUUGUCUUGGUCAAAUUAAGCAUCUUCUACGCAAGCCACAUCAGACACUACAACAGGUAGUUAAAAGGUUGUCUGAAACCUCACAUGUUGGACCCACAUGUUCUAGAGAUUAUCCAAAGUUGCUUAACAUCCACAUUGAUGGUCCAGUCCCCACACAGUUUAUUUCUUCACAACAGUACAGGAAGGUCUCCACUCAUCGGUUUACUUUGUCCACAAAGAAAGGAGACAAUUGUGUUGAAGUUGGAGAUGGAUUUGCAUUAAUAGAGAAUAUUAUUAAAUCAGAAGAGGAUACAUAUAUAAUCGUCAGAAUGUACGGACACAAACAGCCAUAUUACAUGUAUCCCUGUGAAUCAUCAUACAUUGGCACAUACAAAGUCAGUGGCUUGAAAGAAAAUAUAGGGGUAGUUGGACUGGCCUCUAUCAAGCGCAAAUGCCUUCUCUGUCCAGACAUGGAUGGUGCCAUUGUAAUACCACUACUUCAUUUAGCAUAGUCAUGCUGCCCUGCCAAAGUGCAGUAUCUGUAACUGAGAUGUAUAUCAUGGCAUAAAUUACCUAAAAAUAACAUUUAUCUAAUUCUUACCUGUGCAAAUAACAUGUUUGACUGGCCAAAAACUACAAUGUCUGUAGUGCACUUUGGCUUUGAAGAGUGAAAUGGGGAUGACCUGUAAGGAGAUAUCAUGAGUAGUUCUCAUUUCAUCCCUAGCCCUUCGAAGAUGAGUAGAGAGGCACUGUGGUCAGUUGUACAGUUCCCAAAUGGUGGGACAGCAGUAGUUCUAGAGAGCUGGUUUAAAGCUGAGGAACAGACGCUGUUAUGGCCCCCAAAACACAUAACACUCAAGAAAGCCCUUCGAGACGGAAUGCAACCAGACGACAAAUGGAUCACCUAUACGGAUGUACGAGUCCUCAUUACGUGUGAGACCCUUGAUGAGGCGAAAAAACGAGAGACAAAAUAUAACACCACAAUGUGUCCAACAUCUGAAAUUGAAUCUCAUGAUGAAGGAGCUAUCCGCCAAAAAAGAAUAUCCAGGCCAAAUCAGCAGUUUAUGCAUUCUGAUUCUGAAGACCAUCAGAGUAGCAGUGCAAAAAGAAAGCGUUUUGCCAAACCACCUGAUGUUGGAUGUCCAGGUAUUGUUUCCUUUAUAUUGACACUAUGCUCACUUCUACACAGUCAAAAAAGAAAUUACAUAUAACAGUGUACCAAUAAAAGGACAUUUUAAUUUGAUUGAAAUUGUGUUUCUUGCUGAAAUUGUGUAUAGUUUUAGCACUUAGAGCUAAAACUAAUUGUGUAUAGUUUUAGCUCUUAAUUAUUUCCUAUUUUUCUUAGUAGAUCUUGUUGCUAGCAACUACCAACAAUCACUAGCUGAUGAAGUUCUUAAUGGUGAGUCGUCAAGCAGUCUCAUAAGACUGUGAUGUCAAAGCAAUGCUUUAAAUAUAGAGCAGUCAGCUGAAUGUAAGUCUCACAUUUUCUCAUAUGGAAGGUUACAGUAAUAACCUCACUGCUUUGUGUAUUUCCUACUUUGUGUUCAAGCUGAGAUGCCAGGUUUUGCUACAGCCCACUGUGU